UAUCAAAAAUCAAUAUCAUUAGAAAAUGUAAAUUGAUAAUUCAAAAUUUUAACAAAAAAAUAGAAAACAGUAGGUAUAAAUAUUAAACAUGUGCUGGCUAGGUUGGGCGGUAGCCUUAUCAUUUUUCUCUUUUGUGUUUGGAUCCUCAUCGCCUAAAUCUUGAAUGCAUGAUUAUUAUAGAAGGUACUAUUUGCAGGAAUUUUGCGAAAUGGAAUCUAUAAAAAUAGUAAUGGACAAAACUUGCAUAUCAUCAAUAAUUCAUCAAGCUUAGAAUAUUUUAUUAUACUCAAUAUAAUAUUAUUGAUAUUUUAUUUAUAAUUAAUAAAUGUUGGUAUUAUGCUAA